rnacentral:lncRNA from 1 species
UUUGGAUCAUUUUUGGAAAGUUUAUGAAAGUUACUUAAAACUCAAGUAAUUGUCAUGAUUUUGAUUAUUUGAGGUAUUUGGAUGUUUGGAAGGGAUGAUUAAUGUUCCUUGAUACCAUAUAUGUUUGGAAUGGCUGUUUAUAUGAAUUUAUAACAUGUUUGGAUGAAUUUUUGAGUUGAUUUGGUGUUAAACCGCCUUAGAUAACCCAAGAACAGAUUUUCUUUCUGGUGUAGUUCGCUUAGCGAACAGUAGCUCGCUACAGCGAAUAAGCUCGCUACAAGUUCGCUACCUGUUCGCCAUGUACCUGUAAUCCUCUGAUGUAGUUCGCUACAGCGAAAGGAGAUUCGCUUAGCGAAUGAGUUCGCUACCUGUUCGCUUUGGUUUCGCUUAGCGAACAGUACUGA